UACGUAGGUGGCAAGCGUUGUCCGGAUUUACUGGGCGUAAAGAGCGCGCAGGCGGUCCGAUCAGUCGAAUGUGAAAGCCCCCGGCUCAACUGGGGAGGGUCACGCGAUACUGCUCGACUUGAAGGCAGGAGAGGGAAGUGGAAUUCCCGGUGUAGUGGUGAAAUGCGUAGAUAUCGGGAGGAACACCAGUGGCGAAGGCGACUUCCUGGCCUGUUCUUGACGCUGAGGCGCGAAAGCUAGGGUAGCAAACGGG
rnacentral:rRNA from 1 species